rnacentral:rRNA from 1 species
UACGGAGGGGGCUAGCGUUGCUCGGAAUCACUGGGCGUAAAGCGCACGUAGGCGGCUUGCUAAGUCAGGGGUGAAAUCCUGGAGCUCAACUCCAGAACUGCCUUUGAUACUGGCGAGCUUGAGUCCGGGAGAGGUGAGUGGAACUGCGAGUGUAGAGGUGAAAUUCGUAGAUAUUAGGAAGAACACCGGUGGCGAAGGCGGCCCACUGGAUCGGUACUGACGCUGAGGUGCGAAAGCGUGGGGAGCAAACAGG